rnacentral:pre_miRNA from 15 species
UUUUGUAACAUGUUUACGGUUUGGUGGUACUAUACCUCAGCUUUAUCAGGUGUUCUUUAUAAUCACCUGGAAAUACUGAGGUUGAGUUUCACUGAACAUGAGCUUCAUGAUUUCUGU